rnacentral:rRNA from 1 species
UGGGGAAUUUUGGACAAUGGGCGAAAGCCUGAUCCAGCAAUGCCGCGUGUGUGAAGAAGGCCUUCGGGUUGUAAAGCACUUUUGUCCGGAAAGAAAUCCUUGGCUCUAAUACAGUCGGGGGAUGACGGUACCGGAAGAAUAAGCACCGGCUAACUACGUGCCAGCAGCCGCGGUAAUACGUAGGGUGCAAGCGUUAAUCGGAAUUACUAGGCGUAAAGCGUGCGCAGGCGGUUUGCUAAGACCGAUGUGAAAUCCCCGGGCUCAACCUGGGAACUGCAUUGGUGACUGGCAGGCUAGAGUAUGGCAGAGGGGGGUAGAAUUCCACGUGUAGCAGUGAAAUGCGUAGAGAUGUGGAGGAAUACCGAUGGCGAAGGCAGCCCCCU